rnacentral:rRNA from 1 species
UCCUACGGGAGGCAGCAGUGAGGAAUAUUGGUCAAUGGGCGCGAGCCUGAACCAGCCAAGUAGCGUGAAGGAUGACUGCCCUACGGGUUGUAAACUUCUUUUAUAAAGGAAUAAAGUGAGGCACGUGUGCCUUUUUGUAUGUACUUUAUGAAUAAGGAUCGGCUAACUCCGUGCCAGCAGCCGCGGUAAUACGGAGGAUGCGAGCGUUAUCCGGAUUUAUUGGGUUUAAAGGGUGCGUAGGCGGGCUUUUAAGUCGGCGGUAAAAAUUCGGGGCUCAACCCCGUCCCGCCGGUGCAACUGGUGGG